AGCGAACGCUGGCGGCAGGCCUAACACAUGCAAGUCGAACGAAGUCUUCGGACUUAGUGGCGGACGGGUGAGUAACACGUGGGAACGUACCUUUUGGUUCGGAACAACUCAGGGAAACUUGAGCUAAUACCGGAUGAGCCCUUAGGGGGAAAGAUUUAUCGCCGAAAGAGCGGCCCGCGUUAGAUUAGCUAGUUGGUGAGGUAAAGGCUCACCAAGGCUACGAUCUAUAGCUGGUCUGAGAGGAAGAUCAGCCACACUGGGACUGAGACACGGCCCAGACUCCUACGGGAGGCAGCAGUGGGGAAUCGUGCGCAAUGGGCGAAAGCCUGACGCAGCCAUGCCGCGUGAAUGAUGAAGGUCUUAGGAUUGUAAAAUUCUUUUACCAGGGACGAUAAUGACGGUACCUGGAGAAAAAGCCCCGGCUAACUUCGUGCCAGCCGCCGCAGUAAAAC
rnacentral:rRNA from 1 species